rnacentral:lncRNA from 1 species
GGCGACUUUUCGACGUGGAGCGAAAAAGGGAAUUGAUACACACUCCAUAGGAGCUUACACACAUAAAGGCGAAAGGUAAGUGAAAAUCCAUUUGCAACUACAAUGCAAGAACCUAGUAUAUGUGACAUAGUAAUGUUGAAAUAUCUACAUAACUUUGAUAAGAGGCUUAUAGCGCAUCAUAUGGUGGUUACGAUCAUUGAGUAUGAGAUUCCGUAACCUAUUGACAUCGAUUUUCAUUUAUGAGCAUUUUCAUAUGCAUGCACGACAUGUAACAUGGUUGAAAAUACUGCAUGCAAAAUAUGAUUUCAAAGUGAGUUUCAUUAUAAAUGUUUUAUUGACCACUACUAGGGCACCGAGGCAUGUGAGGAAUGCUUAUGUGAUAUGUUUGGCAUUGCGGGUGUUACUUCCUGGGUGAUUGCAAAGGUAGAUAGGGGAUGGGCCUUUGGUGAUCACGGGAGGGCGGACCACUCGACUAUGCCCUUGUUAUGAUUAUUGGCGCUGCUAGGUGGGAGACUUCUUGGGUGAUCAUAGGGGCAGUCAGGGGAUGGGCCUCUAGUGGUCACGAGAGGAUGGUCCACUUGUCGGUGUCGAUUUCAUACUGGCCAUUUGAUUAUUGAUAUUGAUAUUAUGCAGAGCUCUAUCCGGUGCAUAGUAGGUGGGUCAAGGGCCCAAUGAAAUGAAAGAUUUCAAGUGAAAUGAUUUCUAGUCGACUUUGAUGAAUAUUGAAAUAUGAUAUUUUUAUCGUGAUAUUUAAAGUAAAUGGCAUGGUGUCAUCUAUCGUUAUUACUCAUGUUCAGGACAUGCAUGAUUUUGCUUACUAAGCACUGGCUUAUGUAGUUCUUGCAUUGUAGGUGAACAUGGAACUACAUAGAGAGCAUGGCUAGCUGUGGAGCUCCUACAGGAUUCCAGAGUUCGAUGUACAUGGAUGACGACCUGUAGGGUUAUUUUGUAGGCUGCCAUCUAUUGGGUUAUAUUUUGGAAUCCUAUAUAGUGUAUUUUUGAAAUGGCCUGUAGACAUGUUUAUAAGCUCUGAAUAUAUAUGUUGGAUUAUGGC